rfam:Penicillium steckii strain IBT 24891 PENSTE_contig004, whole genome shotgun sequence.
CUUUUGUGAUGAGAAAAAUUUUUCAGUUCUGCUUCUGCAAAAAUUUUGAAGAUAACAAAAAAUCUUACCAAAAACUCCUGAUCA